rnacentral:rRNA from 1 species
AACGAACGCUGGCGGCAGGCCUAACACAUGCAAGUCGAACGCUGCAGCAAUGCAGAGUGGCAGACGGGUGAGUAACGCGUGGGAACCUUCCCAGUGGUACGGAAUAGCCCAGGGAAACUUGGGGUAAUACCGUAUAAGCCCCUAGGGGGAAAGAUUUAUCGCCAUUGGAUGGGCCCGCGUCGGAUUAGCUAGUUGGUGAGGUAACGGCUCACCAAGGCGACGAUCCGUAGCUGGUCUGAGAGGAUGAUCAGCCACACUGGGACUGAGACACGGCCCAGACUCCUACGGGAGGCAGCAGUGGGGAAUAUUGGACAAUGGGCGCAAGCCUGAUCCAGCCAUGCCGCGUGAGUGACGAAGGCCUUAGGGUUGUAAAGCUCUUUUGGCGGGGACGAUAAUGACGGUACCCGCAGAAUAAGCUCCGGCUAACUUCGUGCCAGCCGCCGCGGUAA